GGGGGGGGGGGGGGGGGGGGGGGGGGGGUGGGGGGGGGGCGGAGGGGCGGGGGGGGGGGGGGGGGCUCGGGGGGCGCGCGGGGGGGGGCCGCGUGGGUAACCUGCCCUUGACUUUGGGAGAACUUCAGGAACCUGGGGCUACUCCCGGCUCGGAGCUCCUGCUGCGUGGUGGGGGUUGGAACGUUUCGGCGGUUGGGGCUGGACUCGCGGCUUAUCCGCUUGUUGGUGGGGUAGUGGCUUACCAAGGCUUUGACGGGUAGCCGGCCUGAGAGGGUGACCGGCCACAUUGGGACUGAGAUACGGCCCAGACUCCUACGGGAGGCAGCAGUGGGGAAUAUUGCACAAUGGGCGGAAGCCUGAUGCAGCAACGCCGCGUGCGGGAUGACGGCCUUCGGGUUGUAAACCGCUUUCGCCUGUGACGAAGCGUGAGUGACGGUAAUGGGUAAAGAAGCACCGGCUAACUACGUG
rnacentral:rRNA from 1 species